GACGGAGGGCCCGAACGUUGUGCGGAUUCACUGGGCGUAAAGCGCGCGCAGGCGGCUUACUCAGUGGCUUGUGAAAGUUCCCGGCUCAACCGUGGGAGGGCAUGGCAAACUGGGAAGCUCGAGGCGCGGAGAGGCCCGUCGAAUUGCCGGUGUAGCGGUGAAAUGCGUAGAGAUCGGCAGGAAGACCAGGGGGGAAGGCGGGCGGCUGGCCGCGGGCUGACGCUGAGGCGCGAAAGCUUGGGGAGCAAACCGG
rnacentral:rRNA from 1 species